CUUGUACAGCCAUUUUUUUUGUUAGAAACACUGCCCAGGCCCUGAGCUCGGAGGGGGACAUCAUCUUUAGACAGAGCCCCCAAGGAACAUUCAGUUUUGGCGUGGAUGCUCGAGCUGCCAUCAGCCACGUCACAUCCCAGGUCUCGGUCCGGCUGAACAGAUCUGACUCCGACAUCCCCACAGACCCACAGUUCCUCCAUAUUCCGGGCAUGGACGUUGCUCCCUCGGGGGAUGACGCUGACUCGCCUGCCAAGGGUUGUCUGUGAGCAGCCGGCCUGCUGGGCGACGGGCCGAAGGAAGGCAGGAUGCGGGCCGGGGGAGGGAGCCCACACACGCAGCGUCGCGCUUGGCCAGACAGCCCCUGCAGAACCAAGGACAGAUGGCAGGGGGUUUGCAAUCCAUCAUUUGGAAGUGAUUGUCCAGGUGCAGGCAGCUGCCAAGCACUAGAGUGUACAGCCUUGCUGGGUCCCUAUCUGUGCAAAUGUCCGGCUGGGAGCUGGUUCUGCUGGAGGUCGACGCCAGCCAGGACACUCGGAGAAGCAGCCGGGGCUGGGGUGUGA
rnacentral:lncRNA from 1 species